CCUACGGGAGGCAGCAGUAGGGAAUAUUGCUCAAUGGGGGAAACCCUGAAGCAGCAACGCCGCGUGGAGGAUGAAGGUUUUCGGUAUGUAAAGUCCUAUUGGUAGAGAAGAUAAUGACGGUAUCUAACGAAUAAGCCCCGGCUAACUCCGUGCCAGCAGCCGCGGUAAUACGGAGGGUGCAAGCGUUACUCGGAAUCACUGGGCGUAAAGGGCGCGUAGGCGGGACAGCAAGUCAGAUGUGAAAGCCUAUGGCUUAACCAUAGAACUGCAUUUGAAACUGUUAGUCUAGAGUAUGGGAGAGGUAGGUGGAAUUCUUGGUGUAGGGGUAAAAUCCGUAGAGAUCAAGAGGAAUACUCAUUGCGAAGGCGACCUGCUAGAACAUAACUGAGGCUGAUGCGCGAAAGCGUGGGGAGCAAACAGGAUUAGAUACCCUUGUAGUC
rnacentral:rRNA from 1 species